UACGUAGGGGGCAAGCGUUGUCCGGAAUCAUUGGGCGUAAAGCGCGUGUAGGCGGUCCGGUAAGUCCGCUGUGAAAGUCGGGGGCUUAACCCUCGGAUGCCGGUGGAUACUGUCGGGCUUGAGUACGGAAGAGGCGAGUGGAAUUCCUGGUGUAGCGGUGAAAUGCGCAGAUAUCAGGAGGAAUACCGGUGGUGUAGACGGCUCUCUGGACCGCAACUGACGCUGAGACACGAAAGCGUGGGUAGCAAACAGG
rnacentral:rRNA from 1 species